rnacentral:lncRNA from 1 species
CUAAGCACCUACGUCCACUCCCCAAGCGACCCCUUGGGAAUUCACUAUAAUCCCGCAGAUUACAGUUGGAUUGUUUUUCGGGCUCACAAUCCAAAAAUCUUUACACUUUGGUUUUCCGGGUUCACCAAAAACCUAUGUUGGUUUUACGGGCUCACCAACGAACCUUUACACUUUGGUUUUCCGGGUUCACCAAAAACCUAUGUUGGUUUUACGGGCUCACCAACGAACC